UACGUAGGGUGCAAGCGUUGUCCGGAAUUAUUGGGCGUAAAGAGCUCGUAGGCGGUCUGUCGCGUCUGCUGUGAAAACUCAGGGCUUAACCCUGAGCUUGCAGUGGGUACGGGCAGACUAGAGUGCGGUAGGGGAGACUGGAAUUCCUGGUGUAGCGGUGAAAUGCGCAGAUAUCAGGAGGAACACCGGUGGCGAAGGCGGGUCGCUGGGCUGACACUGACGCUGAUGCGCGAAAGCUAGGGGAGCGAACGGG
rnacentral:rRNA from 1 species